UACGGAGGGUGCAAGCGUUGUUCGGAUUUACUGGGCGUAAAGCGCGUCUAGGCGGAAAGAUAAGUCACGUGUGAAAGACCUGGGCUCAACCCAGGAAUUGCGCUUGAAACUAUCUUCCUUGAGUGAUGGAGAGGUGAGCAGAAUUCCAUGUGUAGCAGUGAAAUGCGUAGAUAUAUGGAAGAAUAUCAGAGGCGAAGGCGGCUCACUGGCCAUUUACUGACGCUGAAGCGCGAAAGCGUGGGGAGCAAAC
rnacentral:rRNA from 1 species